UACGUAGGGGGCAAGCGUUGUCCGGAAUCAUUGGGCGUAAAGCGCGUGUAGGCGGCUUGGUAAGUCCGCUCUGAAAGCCCGGGGCUCAACCCCGGGAGGCGGGUGGAUACUGUCAAGCUCGAGUCCGGAAGAGGCGAGUGGAAUUCCUGGUGUAGCGGUGAAAUGCGCAGAUAUCAGGAGGAACGCCAAUGGCGAAGGCAGCUCGCUGGGACGUGACUGACGCUGAGACGCGAAAGCGUGGGGAGCAAACAGG
rnacentral:rRNA from 1 species